UACGUAGGGUGCAAGCGUUGUCCGGAAUUAUUGGGCGUAAAGAGCUCGUAGGCGGUUUGUUGCGUCGGCUGUGAAAUCCCGAGGCUCAACCUCGGGUCUGCAGUCGAUACGAGCAAACUAGAGUGUUGCAGGGGAGACUGGAAUUCCUGGUGUAGCGGUGAAAUGCGCAGAUAUCAGGAGGAACACCGGUGGCGAAGGCAGCUCGCUGGGACGGUACUGACGCUGAGACGCGAAAGCGUGGGGAGCGAACAGG
rnacentral:rRNA from 1 species